rnacentral:rRNA from 1 species
UACGGGGGGAGCAAGCGUUGUUCGGAAUCACUGGGCGUAAAGGGAGUCUAGGCGGUUUGGUAAGUGGGAUGAUGAAUCGCCCGGGCUCACCCCGGGACCUGCAUCCCAAACUGCUGAGCUUGAGUACAGGAGAGGGUGGGGGAAUUCCAGGUGUAGCGGUGAAAUGCGUAGAUAUCUGGAGGAAUACCGGUGGCGAAGGCGGCAUCCUGGACCGGCAUUGACGCUGAGGAGCGAAAGCCAGGGGAGCAACGGG